GAGAGCGAGAGCUCAGCAUCAAAGGCAGGCUGGCAGGACUAAUGGGCCUGUGGAGGAGCUCUUCUCAUUAGAGCUAAAGAUGGCCUUCCUGCGUGGGUUUGGUUUGGCUUGCCCUGUCAGCGCAGGUAAGCUCCAGACGCCUCUCUCCGGCCCUGCCUGCUCAUCCCAGCACUGCGACCGUCUCUCGCUCUCUCUCCCCCGGCAGGAAGUGUGGAGGAGGCCAGGCGUGCCCUACAGGAAGCCAGACAACAAUUAGAUGCUCAGCACUCGGCCUCUCAGGCGGAGCUGGAGAGAUUGUGGGACCAAGAGGCCCUCAGCAGUUCCAGAGUCAAGAUUUGGAAAAGGAGCUGUUCAGAAGCAGACAGGACGAGCUGGAGACUGCUUUGUCCCUUCAGCUUUCUGCCGAAGAACGGGAAGAAGUCUGCCAAAUCAAUGUGUCCGUGUCCAGGCGUGAGCUCCAGGACCUGCAGCGUCUGUACAGGCCCGGCUCCUUCAGCAGCAGGAGGGCCUUAACCUGGACACGCAGAGAGUCCUGCGCAGCCGAGAGGAGGCCCACACGGCACACACCGUCUCCUUCCAGAAGGUACAGGAGCGCAUCUGUUGUGUGAACUCAGCGGCUGUCCUCACAAGCGAACACGGCGCCCCUAGGGGGGGUGAACUCGUGCUCUAGCAAGGACUAAACUGCAUUAACCGAGCUUGUCCUUCACUGUCUGUUUCUGCUGUGACAGCUCCACAGCGAGCUGAGCGUGUCAUACCAAGCCCAGGAAGAGCUCUGCCAGAGAGAUCAGCAGAUCCGAGAGCUCCAGGCACAGCUGCGGAGCUUCACAGCAGCCGUGGGGCACGCGAGAACGCCGGGAGUGAGAUGAGCAAACACUGGGCUGCUAACAAGAGCCUGAGGGCUCAGUUAGAUGAAAGAGAUCAGACGCUGAAGGAGCUGCACCAGAGGGUUGGUGUUUCAGAGAGGGAUGUGACGAUGAAGAGGCAGCUGGUGGAGGAUCUCAGAUGCAGACUAUAGAUCUGCCAGAACACUGAGACGAGCCACAGAUCAGCGGCUGAAGACUUGGAGAAGAAAGAAGAUGGAAUCUCUCACUGAUGAGGCAGCUUACCGAAGAGAAGAUUGACAGAUGCCACUGCAGAACAAAACCAGCAUGAGGCAACCAGCCAAAAACUCAAAGAAGAGCUUCAGAGAAAGGUUCAAGAGCAUCUGUACAUCACUCAGGAAUCGUAAUGCUUUUUUUGGGCUUGUCCUGCGUUGUAUUGCAGGAUGGCUUUUUCUUUCUCUUUCUUUAUUCACCUAAUUACCAUCAGUCUCGUUUGAUGUUUGGCGCCAAAUGCCAUACUUUGCCCCAGUUUCAUCGUUCAGUUCAUUCUAUCCGUUAUAUACUAUCUCCUAAUUGGUGAAACGCUUGUUAAGUGUGUUUAUUCCUCAGGAGCAGAGAAUGGCCGUCCUAGUCAUCACUGGGAAUGUAACGAUUCACUCAACUCGAUUUAUUUUUCUUUUUUUACAAAAUUAGAUUUAAGACAAAUUAUAAAUUAAAUGUGUCCUUUUAUUAUUGCUUGGACAAAAUGCUGCAUGUUUCUUUGUGAAAUUGAAAUGUAACACUAUAAUAAUAUACUAAAAUAGCACUUAUCACUGUUCUUUUGUUGGUUUUGAUUGCUUCUAUUGU
ensembl:lncRNA